CUCCUCUCAGGUCCUCCUCCCCGCGUCGUCUCCUUCGCCGCACCUCCCUCGAGAUCUCCAUGGCGAGCUCUCGCCACUACCUCACCCCGUCUCCUAUGGCGAUUUAUCUCAUCUCAUGUCGCAACAUUUCCGCGUAGUAGCUCGAUCAACACCUCCGCCGCAACGCCAUCCUCAUCACCUCCGCUCUCCUCCUCUACCGGCUCCUCUUCUGGCCCUCUCCUAGUCAUCACCUUUGGAGAAGCUCAAGAACUCGGAGAGAGCGAACAAUCGGCUCCCGAUCUCAAUCUAGGGUUUUUAUUCUUAUAAUCUUAUAGUGGAAGAAUUUGUUCUUUAUUGACGAGGGGGAUAUUUGUGGAACUACAUGUUGUCUGAAUUAUUGAAUGAAUGCAAGCUGAUGAGGACACUGCAGACGCUUCGACUCUGAUAGGAAUUCCUCUAAAGACGUUGCACGUGAAAUUUGUUCUUCACAAGGAAUGCCUGUUUGGUCAAUGGUUUCUUCUCGUCGGUGAUGACCGGAAUAUCGGUUCUUGGAAUCAAUCGAAAGCCAUUCCUUUGGAAUGGUCUGAUGGCCAUGUGUGGACAACUGAGCUGAUGAUGAAAACAUGAUUGCUAGCUCAAGCGGAGAGCAAAAACAGGGGCCAGCUUUUAAAAUCAGUGAUUUUCUUAGAAGAAGCAAACAUCUCAGAUAUCGUACCAGGGUUUUUGCUGCAGAAGAAUCAGAGGGGACAGAGCUAAAUACACUCGCAUAUUUGAGUUCAACAACUUCAGAUAAUAUGCACCAUUCAUGUAGCCAGAUGAUAUCUCUUGAUGGUUAAAUAACAAAGUUAAAGGUGGCCUGUUGAGAACCAUUCUAGAAUCAUCGUUGAUUGUCUUGUACAACAAUUCAUUCACUAUGGUCAAACCUGAUCCAGUCCAUUGAUUUUGCAGUUGGAGGUGCAAGUGUAGUUUCGUGCGGUUCUAACUUACUAAAGGAUCCAAGACUUGGUAUCCUUCCAUUAAUGUGGAGUUUUGUAGUGAGAACCUUCUGGCAUAUAUCUGAUAGAUUCUCAUUUUUAUACAAAACAAUCAAUUCACAACUCAGUCAGUUUGCUUGACUUAAUGGGAUGAGGUUCCAUUAGUACUUUAAUUGAUCAGAAAUUUUCUGAACGGAGGAAAGAUUGGUGAUUACUUUUAAUUCGGAGUAAAUUCAUUGAAAAAGUUGAAGAAUUCAUAGAAAACUCUAAUUUCAUAUAGGUUUUAUUUCUUUUAGAUUAAAAACUAUGAAUAAAAUUUUUGAUUGACAAUUGUAAUUUUUACUAUGCAAACUCAUGUUUGAUUAGAUGAUUUGGCUUCUCUUGUUUGACAGUUGUCGUAUGUAAUCAAAUUUAAAUUUGUUUGAAUGAUUAAGAGUCUUAAAAUUUUGUCUAAUUUGUUUUAAAUUGUAUGUUUUAUAAUUUGGAUUGAAUUCAUAAUGAUUAUGAAACCGAUGGUAUAAAUUUACUAAUUUAUACUAGCGCUUUUUACUAUAUUUAGCAGCGGUCGGAGAAGUGUUACUAAAAUUAUUAUCUUCUCCAACGGUUGUGUAAACUGUCGGUAAAGACCUUUAGCAACAGAGAUCAAACAACGGUUAUAAAACUUUUUCCGACGGUUUUACAAGUGUCGGGAAACAUUUUUCCAGCGGUUCUAGAGACUUUUUCCGGUGGUUUCGACCGCUUCUAAAAUCCAAUUUUUUUGUAGUGCAAAGGCCUCAUCGCUCUCAGGGUCGGCGAGGAGGGUGCAGUCGAGAACGCAGCAGACGUAAGCACUUAAUAUACCGGAGUCGGGUAAGUCCGGAGGCGAAGAGCACUGCUCCACACGGCCUUCAGGAAAGUAGAACACGCGAGAUCACUGCAGAGGGACCCAUGCCUCCGGGCGAGCGAAGGCCUUCCACAACGGCAUCGCGAUGGGGGUUGGCUCCCUCGCUGCGCAUGCCAUCGGGGCAGAGCUACGAUUAGGUUUCUAUUAAAAAUAUUAUUUGCUAAUCUCAAUCCGUGAUUACCUAAUAUCAAAUUUUGUAAAUUAGGUAAGAAAGUAUUCUGUACAUAUUAGACAGGAUCUCUUUCCUUUUUCUUGCUUUUCUUAAGCCUAAAGUUUAGGCUAUGUAAUUGGUUGUAUCUUAUAUAUAUAUAUAUGCAAUAAGAAAAGAGAAAAGCAAGCUUGGCAAAUA